ensembl:lncRNA
UCUCUACCUGGAGAUCCCUUCUUUUGGAGAUUUUUAGUGAGCCUUGAGACAGUUGACACCAUGCAAGGAAGGACUCAGUGCCCCCAAAAUGCAGGCUGUGUAAUGAAAAUACAUCAUUAGGCAAGAAAAAAAGCUUCAAAGACACGGACCCGAAGAGCAUCAUGUACUGAGUUUGAGGUGUAGAGACCUGUUGCUGCUCCCGACCUCCUUUGGGCUGGGGCUGGCUGACCUGCCGGCUGCUCCAUUCUACAGGGACAAAGCUGCUCUCCUCACUGCUCCUCCACUCCAGGACUGAACGUCCAGAGCCCAGCUCUCCUUAACAGAGCAAUCAUUUGUGAAGUGAUUUCCCCAGAAUAAGCAUGCUUGCAAGUGGAAAAUUUCCUGCACAUAAUGGGAAGGUGCCUGAGCAUUUUACAGACCUGAGAUUGCAUCGAUACGCCUUUGGAAGGUUCCAGGCAAAAAGGCUUUCCUUCUGUCUUUCCCAAUGAGACUUCAGUGUGGCUGGUGCAGUAGUUUUUGGCUCUGUGGAGCUGUUGCUGGGGGCAGAACAAUGACAGCUGUUGUGCAGCAGCAGUGUGGGUGCUGGGGAGCAGCGUGAUCAUGGAGCCUUCCUCACACCUGAGCCCUUGGCUUCUCCUAACCUCAGCAGUGCGGCCAUCCGCCAGUCUGGAAAGAGAAGGCUGGAAGGGCUGUCAGAGCGUAUGGAUUACACAAAAGUUAGUCCAGAUGAAAUAAAUAAAUAGAACCCGAGUGGGAAGUGACUUGAUUCCUCUCUGCUCCCGGUGUAGGUGGUGGUUUGACACCUAACGACCUCCUCGUGCAUGGGCUGGCAGGUUUGGGACCUCAGCAACUUUUGGAGACUUCAACUUACUGUGCUGAAGUACUGAUGAGAUGAAAAUGCAAAUGCAUUCUCUUCAGAAAUCGAAUUUACUUAAUGCUCAGAGUCAUUUAAUAGAGUAAAAUUGCUGUAUAUGCAAACACAGCACUUCUCUGAGUUUCUUCAAAUGAAUUUACUACAGCCACGUUUGAAGUUGUAAUAUUGGCUGUUUGAGGCUAUGACUUCUUCAGGUGUCAGCUGUACUGAAAACUAUUGCUGUACCUUCUUCACCUCUUCUUUCUCAUACAUUUUAGGUGGUAUUUAGAGAUUUUUACAUUUAAUGUUCUGUGUAUCAAUAAAUAAACUGUAAUGCCGUUUUC